UUUGCUUAGUGAAAAAACUUUUAUUAAGAUCAAAAUACGUAAUAUUUGUAUGACCCUUUGAUGUUCGUUAUUUCCGAAUGACCCGUCGAUUGAAAGCUCUCAGUUGACACAACAAGCAAACCCGAAAACAGUUCAAAGCGUGUAGCCAAGGUGUCCGCAAAUUGUUGCAGAAUUCCUAACCGGAAUGGACCAUUUUGCGAACCCGUUGUUGAACCGGUCAUCGGGCGUUCGGUAUUGUGUUUUCUGAUCACAAAUCCGGGAUGUUUUCGUGACAGAGCAGAGGCGCGGUCAACGUCGGUGAUCUGUUGGAACCGGACCUGCGGCAGAGCUGAAAAGAUACAGCGGGUUGAACAAGUGGGCCGUUAAAGAUGCAAGCUGAAAUCGUUUCCGGCGGCUGCUCACCUACCUCCAGACACCGGGGGCCGCUUCUUGAAACCGACCGACGUCCCAGCCCCACAAUCCGGACACGUCUAAGCGCUUGUGGCAGAUUCCAGUUCCGGCAGGCCUUUUGAAACGUUUUCGUGCGAAUUGCUAACUUUUUGAGAAACUUGUGUUAGUGUGUUAUUGUUGAAAUUUGUUGACAUGUAAUUACAAGCAAUAUGGUAAAUAAAGUUUAUUAUUUUUUGUCGUUUUUACGUUAAAAAAUCAUUAAAAUCAGA